UGUCAAUGGUCUUUUAUGGUCUAGACUUCUACUUGUUAAGAAUAUGGUUUGUUUGUAUCUUGUAUGAUACCAAGACUUGUUAAAAAUCUUUCUUCACUUUAUUUCUAUUGUUCAUAUUUGAAAAAUCCUGCUAUGAGACAUGGUGGAUAAAUUCAACUUUUUCUCAAAUUUAAGUUGCUUUAGGAAUUUAUUUCUACC